ensembl:lincRNA
GAAAAAGCUUGUUGAUCUUGGAUAAUCUUUGUGUCAACUUGAUGGAUUUAAAAUAAGCAUCGUCUUUCAGCAACAUGAUGGACUGAAACAGACAGUGGCCUUCAAGUGAUGUUGAGAGGACCACUUGAAUGGCUGAUCCUGAAGAAUGUGAGGACAGCCAAAGAAUGCUGAAGACUUCAAGAGGAGUCGAUCUUUCUGGUGAUACUUGGAAGUUGCUUGAAGGUCCACCAUAAAUAAAAGGUCAAUGGCA